AUUGACGUUGUACUGCGCAUGCGCGACUUUAACUUUUAUUUUCUACUACGGGAGAAUUGCUGGUUUGCUGUAGUCGUUACAACGUGACAGAUUCGUAAUGAGAUCCCGUACCUGCCUUGUAAGCUCUUUCCGGCCCAUGGCUUUUCCAGUUGGAUGUUACCAGGAAGAUGUCAGGAAAAUCCUAUAGGAACAGCUGUACUUCAUUUGGGGGUAAUCACAUUAACUGAUGCACUUUUAACAGUCGACAUGGUCACAAAGCAGCAGGAAUGAUGCAGAGGUGAAAGUAGUGAGAAACUCCCUGAGAUGACUUGAGGGUACAAAGAAGGUAUGCAUCGAGGCUCUUUCUGAAUGAACGUGCCCUAGAUGUUCGAUCAGCAGAGUCACUGGUUGUCUUCAAAUGACUACUAAAGGCAUUUUCAUGAACUCAUGAAGUACUUAAAUGUGCAAAUCCAUGUCUUGUGUGUUUUUUUCAUACUAUACUAACCUCCUCAAUAAGGUUUUUAGACUGAUACUCUUAGUGUAUGAGAGAGUGAACCAGUGUGAAGAUGUACUUACUGAUAGAGACUUCAAAGCACUUCUGUAAGUCACUCUGGAUAAGGAUGUUGGUAAAUGUCAAUGAAUGGGAAAGAAUCCUUUAGAGGAACCAGACUUAAAAAGGAACCAAAUACCUUUAUCGUGACACCAGAUUAUAAAUCAUUACAGUAUACAGUUAUUGAAGAGUAAAGACAAACUAAGUGUGUGGAAAGGAUGUUCCAUAUGAGCAGAUUGGGGUUGGUUUUCUGUGAUAGUGACCAGAAGGUUGUGAGUUUAAAUCCUAAGACUGCCAGGGACACACUGUAGGACUCAUGUGCAUGGUUCAUUUACACUCUUUUUAGAAAAGCCAUUCUGGAAAUACACUAACAAAUGGAAAAGCAUUAUCAGAUUAAAGAGGAAAUUUUCACACGGGCUUGGAAGAAAACUGAUAAGAGAUUUCUCGGAAAGGGCUGAGACGGGUUGGGCUUUUAAAUGUAAUUCUGAAAGAGUAUGCAGGACACACCCUGAUUGUGAUUCUGUUGUUUUUUUUGUUUGUUUUUUUUAAACUUUUUGUUUAACCCUAACUAUUUUUUUUUCAAACUUUUUAUGACGAGCUCUUUUGCUGAAAUGUAUCCUAGUUAAUGUAUCACAUUGCCACACAUGUAGCCUAGUACACCAACUGCUAUGUUCUUAAAUCUCUGUUGUGUUAUCCUUCCAUUUUAAUCAACUGGUCUGACUCCAAUUAGUUUGUUUACAGGACAGCCUAAGUUACCCGUAGAUUUCAGCCUCCAAAAUGAGCACAUUUCACAAGCUUCCUCUGAACUUUGCUUUAGGAUUUCAUAAUAAUGACACAGUGAAUUGACUUCAUCUUAAAGGACAUCCUUUGCAGGAAUAUACCAUUUAUUUUGUCUGCUUAUCAACGCUGAGCUUCUUCUCAACAAUGUAGCCAUAUCACUAUUUAUUCCAGAGCAUUUUUAAAGCUCUUUGCAUAUUUUUCAAAAUUGUAAAACAGUAAAAAUUUCAUAGAAACAAUAGAGCAGAAAUCUUAGCAAUAAUAAAUAGUCUAUGUGAGCUAGUUAUUGUAAAUUGCAGAACUGUUCAUUAUCUGUAUAUUAUAGCCUAUAAUGAUAAUAAUCCAUUAUUAUCUUGAACAAAAUGCAAUUUCUAUUCUAGGGAUAGUGUGUUAUAGUAAUUGCA